CCCGCCGGCCCAUCGGAUACGCUCCGGCCCCGCCACGGCCAAAGCCGCACCGUGGAUUUGACACCCGUGGGAUUAGACAGGGCUGUGCCCGCGGGAGGAGGAGAACUGUCCACGGCUGGCCUGGCUUUCCCCUCCGAUCUCUCUGCUCCUGGCUCAGAGCCAGCCCGACUGAAGAACUGCCUGACCCAGCGCAGCACAGGGCGUGUGCGGUGGGACGGGAGCUCACUCCAACACGAGCCGCGGGUGACAGAACGGA